rnacentral:tRNA from 1 species
AAGGGUAUAGCUCAGUGGUAGAAUGCCUGCCUGGCAUGCACAAGGUCCUGGGUUCAAUUCCCAGUACCUCCA